CUGUUUAUUAUAUAAAUAUUUUUAAUGGAAAAAAAAACAACAAGAGGAUUGAUCUUAUGUUGCUUUUCAUACUUUACUGCGUUCUGUAUAGAGACUACACAUCAAUUAUUUUCAUUUUUGAAAAAAAAUGCUUUGCACAU
rnacentral:ribozyme from 15 species